AUUAUGUUUGACAGUUGAGUCAAUGAUUUCUAUGGAAUCUUCUGCUCCUGAGAUUCUCUCUUCCAUCUCUUGUAUUCUGUUGGUGAAGCUUGUAUCUACAGCUCCUUGUCUCUUCUUUUGGUUUUCUAUAUCCAGGGUUGUUUCCAUGUGUUCUUUCUUGAUUGCUUCUAUUUCCAUUUUUAAUUCCUUCAACUGUUUGAUUGUGUUUUCCUGGAAUUCUUUCAGGGAUUUUUGUGUCUCCUCUCUAUGGGCUUCUACUUGUUUAUUUAUGUUUUCCUGGCAUUCUUUCAGGGAUUUUUGUGUCUCCUCUCUAUGGGCUUCUACUUAUUUAUUUAUGUUUUCCUGGCAUUCUUUCAGGGAUUUUUGUGUCUCCUCUCUAUGGGCUUCUACUUGUUUAUUUAUGUUUUCCUGGAAUUCUUUCAGGCAUUUUUGCGAUUCCUGUCUGUAGGCUUCUACUUGUUCUCUAAGGGAGUUCUUCACGUCUUUCUUGAAGUCCUCCAGCAUCAUGAUCAAAUAUGAUUUUGAAACUAGAUCUUGCUUUUGUAGUGUGUUUGGAUAUUCCAUGUUUGUUUUGAUUUGAGAAUUGGGCUCCGAUGGUGCCAUGUAGUCUUGGUUUCUGUUGCUUGGGUUCCUGCGCUUGCCUCUCGCCACCAGAUUAUCUCUAGUGUUACUUUGUUCUGCUAUUUCUGACAGUGGCUAGACUGCCCUAUAAGCCUGUGUGUCAGGAGUACUGUAGACCUGUUUUCCUGUUUUCUUUCAGCCUGUUAUGGGGAUAGAGUGUUCUGCUUUCGGGCGUGUAGUUUUUCCUCUCUACAGGUCUUCAGCUGUUCCUGUGGGCCUGUGUCUUGAGUUCACGAGGCAGGUCACUUGCAGCAGAAAAGUUGGUCUUACCUGUGGUCACGGGGCUCAAGUUCGCUCGCGGGGUGCUGCCCACGAGCUCUCUGCGGCGGCAGCAACCUGGAAGAUCUGUGCUGCCGUUUCCAGGACCUUCAGUGCACCAGGGUUCCAGAUGGCGUUUGGUGUUUUCCUCUGGCGUCCGAGAUGUGUGUGCAGAGUGCAGUCUCUUCUGGUUUCCCAGGCGUGUCUGCCUCUCUGAAGGUUUAGCUCUCCCUCCCCGUCUUCUGUGCUCUUAUUAUGAAAAUGUGUUCUGAUAGGUGAACAAAUGAACAUGGGUAACAGCCAUCCGAAGGAACAACGCUGGUGGAUGGUGUAAGAAGUAACUAUACAAUAUUCUUGUAUAUGUACACAACUACAGAUUCACAUAAAUUGCUAUAAUACUGUGGACAUUAACAGCAUUUGGUAAAUGUUAACAACUUUUUCACAAAAAUGACUCGUAUUGAUGUAUUUUGAUUUAUUUUUUAUUGGUUAUUUUUUAUAUACAUUUCAAAUGUUAUUCCUUUCCUUGUUCCCUGUCUGUAAGCCUUCUGUCCCACCCCCUCUCCCUUCUUCUAUGAGGGUGUUCCCCCUCCCAAACUAUCCCCCUUAAGCCUUUGCACCCUGCCAUUCCCCUACAUUGGGUGGUCCAUCCAUGGCAGGACCAAGGGCUUCUCCCAUUGGUGCCCAACAAGGCAUUCCUCUGCUACAUAUGUAGCUGGAGCAUGGGUCUGUCCCAUGUGUACUCUUUGGGUAGUGGUUUAGUCCUUGGGUUACGUUUUGAAAAGGACUUUUGGUGUUGGAUGCAUGGUCACCUCCCCUUUUCAUUUUAAUUUUUUUUCCAGGUGAGAUCAAAGUAUGGUAGACAUACAUUGAGAAGUGUCCCACUCGCACUCUCUCGCCAGCAAGAAACACGCGGGUACAUAGAAAUCCUUGCUGUGACCAAACUUUAUUUUAAUCUUAAGGAGGAAACCUCGGCGCGCCAACAUGGGCAGAGGGAUGACUCCAGGGACCCGAACCACGAGAGCUGAAUCUUCAUGUAACCAGGAUCAGCAAGUCUCAGCAACCACUCAGGCAGCUGGCACACUCUUGUAGCAUCCUGUAGAAAAAACACAAACAUUCCCUCUUCCCCAUAUAAAAUAUCUGGACAGGAUCAUGUCAAUAUGUGGAUCUCUCUAUUUCACCUAGGCAGAAGUAUGCCUAGUUGUAGGGUGCCAUAAACUUUGGCAUCCAAAUUUUAAAAUUGAAAUAAAAGGAGCAUUAUUUAGCAUACAGGGAUGACUCCCCCUAUUUAUUUAUUAAGAUAUAGUAAGGAUAUUAUUUAUCAAGGUAAGUCCUCGAGGAUUAAAUUGAGCACACUGAGCACUUGUAUUUAUAAAUUGUCUUGUAUACCAAAUUAUUGUCUCCAGCAUUAUUGUUUUGGAUAUAUAAAGAAUGAGAUUUUUUGACUAAUUGUUCCUAUGUAAGGCCUAUAAUCUGUCUGGUAUCAAUGUCCUCUCUUGCUAAAGAGCCCAGGCAAUCCAGUUUGAGUUCUUAAAUGUCCUAUAAAGGAACAGUACUUAGUGCUCUUAACCACUAAGCCAUUUCUCUAGUACCUCACAAACUUUAUUUACCUAAACAUAAGCAUUAAUUAGAAAUGUCAAAUCCUGUAAAUAUUAUCCAAUUUCAGUCUUACUAGAAAUCCCUGAGCUGGCAGGGUGAGGCUGGGAGUUGAAAGUAAGCAAAUGGAGUCUUCCUCUUUUCAUGAGGGUGUGUUAUCAACUCCAUUACCAUUUUUAAAGAGCUGGGUCUAUGGUUUUGUUUAGUUGUCUGAGCCAGAGCACUGAAAGGACAGUGAGUUGUCAGACAAUUUACACUGAAAUCACUCACUGAUUUCAUGUAGAAAACUUGUCUCUAAUAAAGCAUUAAGUAAUUGAAAUCAAUUGUAAACCACAAGCCACACAUUGGCUAUCAGUAUGUGAAUUGAAAGUUUGAUUUAAAAACAGUGGCUAAACUACGGAAUUUAAUAAUCUGUGUUGAAGCAACAGAAACUCAAGAUAAUAAACAAGUGAUCCAAUCAUACAUGUAGCCUUUUCAUUAGAUGAACCACCUAUAAAUAGAGUAAGCGCAUUUCCUAUGGGCUGUAUGCACAAAUAUACAGGAAGUACAAAGGCAUGUAAAGAGUAAAAUUAUCAAUUUUGUCUGAAAAAUUUGUAUAUGUAAUAGGCCAAAUAUCAGUAUUUUGUAAUAACCAAUUAACUGUUGUUUGGAAUAAUAUAUGUUUUACCAGGUUUCUUUUCAAAAUACUUCUAUGACUCCAGUCCACAACUCUGUACUAACACAGCUGAAGCUUUUUCUCCAAUGUGCAUAACAAAGACCUAAGUCCUCUGGUAGGGUGAGGUACUUAGCCAAUUAACAUAUCCUAGAAGC
rnacentral:lncRNA from 1 species